GCGGUUUUUUCAUCAUGAACAUUUCAGUGUGCUUCUUAAAAAAGAACACGCAGUUUCUUUAUGGAAUCGUAUGGUUCUGGCAGGCACGGAGAUUCUUGUGCCAAUGCUGACCUUUGUCCAUGACGGAAGAGGGACUUCCACCAACGUUCUUCUCCAUCAUUAUCUUAAUGACGCACGCUCAUCUAGCUUCCCUGCUUCUAAACACAAUUUGUUUUACUUCACUGGCGACUUGGCGAGUUUCUGGACCACUUCAGUGAUCGCUUCCGUCCGCUGUUACACACCUGCAGUCACUCACCACGGGAUUAUGCCCAGAAUGCGCCAACAAAAUACUUCUGGCAAUGGAAAGGUACCAUCACUGGCAAUGGAAAGGGACAAUCACUGGCAGUGGAAAGGGACAAUCGCGACCGGCACCUAGACUCAUCAUCAACGUGUAUCAUCUUAUUGUCGGUAUAAUUUCGUUUGUGUUAGUGUUAGUUAACCCGUUGGUUGCCACGCCUUUGUUCUCCCCUAGCUCCUUAGCACGGGCCGCGCUGUUCGGUCUCGUGGUUUUCAUGCCGCGGGGUCGGACAGUCGCUUGGACGUGACGCGUAGAGUAGUAUAGAGAGUAUAAUUUACGGGUUGUAUGGCGUGGCAGCCAACGGGUUAACUUAAGUGUAUGUGUGUAUAUGAUGUGUAAUGUGUAUGUAUGUAUGUGACUGUAAAAUGUGGUGGAAUUGUGGGUGGAGAUAAAGCAAUUCUUUUUUAAAUGUUUGUUCAUUGUGUAUUUAAUAGUUUGUAACAGAAGAUUGAAGUUUUAAAUUUUAUACAUUAGUUUCAAAGGGACUUGGUAAUUUAUUUUAAGAGUCUGUAGAUCAAUGACUCUAAAACUGAAUACAAUAUUUGCCUGAAAGUCCAUUUGCUACGCAGUUGAUUAAAAAUUUAAGAGUAAGUUUAGAACAAACACCUAACAGUAUGUUUCUUUCGUAACUUGCCCAGAAAAUGAAAUUCGUCCAAGCACCGUCAAAAGCUCGUUCGAAGCGACUGAAGCAACAGUAGCUCUUCUAAAAAAAAAAUCAAAUAAGUUGCAAUGUUAAAAGGCUUGGAGGUGUUAAGAAUUUACAAGAUAA